GCUCCUACGGGAGGCUGCAGUGGGGAAUAUUGGACAAUGGGCGCAAGCCUGAUCCAGCCAUGCCGCGUGAGUGAUGAAGGCCUUAGGGUUGUAAAGCUCUUUCAGUAGGGAAGAUAAUGACGGUACCUACAGAAGAAGCCCCGGCUAACUUCGUGCCAGCAGCCGCGGUAAUACGAAGGGGGCUAGCGUUGUUCGGAUUUACUGGGCGUAAAGCGCACGUAGGCGGAUUGUUAAGUUAGGGGUGAAAUCCCAGGGGUCAACCCUGGAACUGCCUUUAAUACUGGCAAUGUAGAGUCCGGAAGAGGUGAGUGGAACUCCUAGUGUAGGGGUGGAAUUCGUAGAUAUUAGGAAGAACACCAGUGGCGAAGGCGGCUCACUGGUCCGGUACUGACGCUGAGGUGCGAAAGCGUGGGGAGCAAACAGGAUUAGAUACCCUAGUAGUCU
rnacentral:rRNA from 1 species